AGCUACUAGUGGCGGACGGGUGAGUAACGCGUGGGCAACCUGCCCUCGUACCGGGGGGAUAACACCUUAGGAAAAUAGGUGCUAAGUACUGCAUAAGCGCACGGUCUCGCAUGAGACAGUGGUGAAAAACUCCGGUGGUACAGGAUGGACCCGCGUCUGAUUAGCUAGUUGGUGGGGUAGAGGCCUACCAAGGCGACGAUCAGUAGCCGGCCUGAGAGGGUGACCGGCCACAUUGGGACUGAGACACGGCCCAAACUCCUACGGGAGGCAGCAGUGGGGAAUAUUGCACAAUGGGGGAAACCCUGAUGCAGCGACGCCGCGUGAGUGAAGAAGUAUUUCGGUAUGUAAAGCUCUAUCAGCAGGGAAGAAAAUGACGGUACCUGACUAAGAAGCCCCGGCUAACUACGUGCCAGCCGCGGC
rnacentral:rRNA from 1 species